UGAACCUACGAAAUUUGCUACGUCUCGA
rnacentral:sRNA from 1 species